GGGGGAUAACUAGUCGAAAGAUUAGCUAAUACCGCAUACGACCUGAGGGUGAAAGUGGGGGACCGCAAGGCCUCAUGCUAUAGGAGCGGCCGAUGUCUGAUUAGCUAGUUGGUGGGGUAAAGGCCCACCAAGGCGACGAUCAGUAGCUGGUCUGAGAGGACGAUCAGCCACACUGGGACUGAGACACGGCCCAGACUCCUACGGGAGGCAGCAGUGGGGAAUUUUGGACAAUGGGGGCAACCCUGAUCCAGCAAUGCCGCGUGUGUGAAGAAGGCCUUCGGGUUGUAAAGCACUUUUGUCCGGAAAGAAAUCGCACUUACUAAUAUUAGGUGUGGAUGACGGUACCGGAAGAAUAAGGACCGGCUAACUACGUGCCAGCAGCCGCGGUAAUACGUAGGGUCCAAGCGUUAAUCGGAAUUACUGGGCGUAAAGCGUGCGCAGGCGGUUGUGCAAGACCGAUGUGAAAUCCCCGGGCUUAACCUGGGAAUUGCAUUGGUGACUGCACGGCUAGAGUGUGUCAGAGGGGGGUAGAAUUCCACGUGUAGCAGUGAAAUGCGUAGAGAUGUGGAGGAAUACCGAUGGCGAA
rnacentral:rRNA from 1 species